GCAAACUUGGUCAUUUAGAGGAAGUAAAAGUCGUAACAAGGUCUCCGUUGGUGAACCAGCGGAGGGAUCAUUACCGAGCUUACAACUCCCAAACCCCCGAUGUGAACGAUACCCAUCCUGUUGCCUCGGCGGGAUCGCCCCGGGCGCGUCGCAGCCCCGGGCCAAGGCGCCCGCCGGAGGAAAUAACUCCAAACCCUUCCGUCAGACCACCUCGGUGGCCUCUGUCUCUAACCUCUGAACUCCUCUGACGCUCCCCGGAGCCGACGAAAUGAAUCAAAACUUUCAACAACGGAUCUCUUGGUUCUGGCAUCGAUGAAGAACGCAGC
rnacentral:misc_RNA from 1 species